rnacentral:rRNA from 1 species
GACGAACCGUGCAACCGUUGUUCGGAUUCACUGGGCUUAAAGGGCGCGUGGGCGGGCGGCCAAGUCAGGGGUGAAAUCUUUCGGCUCAACCGGAAAAUUGCCUUUGAUACUGGCCGUCUGGAGGGAGGUAGGGGCACGUGGAACUUCCGGUGGAGCGGUGAAAUGCGUUGAUAUCGGAAGGAACGCCGGUGGCGAAAGCGACGUGCUGGACCUCUUCUGACGCUGAUGCGCGAAAGCUAGGGGAGCGAACGGG